GACGUAGGAUGCAAGCGUUGUCCGGAUUUAUUGGGCGUAAAGAGUUCGUAGGUGGUUUGUUAAGUCUGAUGUUAAAGACUGGGGCUCAACCUCGGGAGUGCAUUGGAUACUGGCAGACUGGAGUGUAGUAGAGGCUCAAGCGGAAUUCCCAGUGUAGACGGUGAAAUGCGUAGAUAGUUGGAAGAACACCGGUGGCGUAAGCGGCUUGCUGGGCUAUAACUGACGCUGAGGAACGAAAGCUAGGGGAGCAAAUGGG
rnacentral:rRNA from 1 species